GCAGGGAUAGCUCAGUUGGUAGAGCAUGAGAGUUUUAAUCUCAGGGUUGUGGGUUUGAGCCCCACACUGGGCA
rnacentral:tRNA from 1 species